ensembl:lncRNA novel transcript
GACACAAACAAGAGCUCAAGGAUGGUGGCUGGGGUUCAGUCUGCCGCUGCAAAUACCAAAAGCUGUCCUCAUUGAGUCAUCCCUCCCAGAGCAGGAAGAGCAGAGGUUCUGGGAAACAACCCCAAGGAGAGAGACAGGGCAUUUAUAAAACAGCAUGUAAGCAUCUCUGCAGUUGCUGUCCCCAGAGCCCACUUCCUGGAUAUUGCCAGCUGCCUGGACCAACCUUUCCGAAAGAUCAGCCAGGUCACAGUGAGGGUCAAAGAACAUUGGCAAGCACGUUGAUAGAGUGCCCACAUUGUACUGAACUCUGAGGGGAAUAGUCUCGUCCCCAUCACUCAGGUGGGGAAACUGAGCAGGAGGCCACUGGAGGCUCCAAGGGCUCUGAAAUGUUGAGAACUUCCCUGCAGGUACCAGCGAAGAGGGCAAGAACACAGCACUACUUCCUUGGAUACUGUUUCCCUCCUCAGAGGGGUUUUCUGAGCUGCCCUGGGUCCUGUGAGGAAGAUCUCCCCUUCCUGUAAAGACACCAGUCCUACUGGAUCAGGGCCCACCCGUGUGACUUCACUUUUACUUGAGUACCUCUCACAGACCCUAACUCCAAAUCAGGUCACUUGCUGAGGUACUGCAUGUGAAGACUUUGACAUUUGAAUUUUGAGGGGGCCACCGUUUAACCUGAACCACCAAGGACAGAGCCAAAGACCCUGGGUGACAGGCCCAGAACAGGACCUGGUGGAGGCUCUUCUUUAGGGGAGAGAGGGAAAUGGGAGCCACCACUGGCAGAGCCUGAAGGCAGGGCAGCCAGAAAGAAGCUGUGGGAGUCCCCACCAUGGAAGACCCUGCCGAGCAUCCUGUGUCUCCUGAAGCAGACCCUGACAUGAGGACUGGGGGCACGUGUUUAUUAAGGGCGAUCCCCGGAAGGAGGAGAUAACCAGGCAGAAGUCCUAGCAGAGUAUGCCCACGCUGGUUAGUGCUGCUGCAAAGAUGAGCCGAAGACCAUGAGAGACCUCCAGGUGGUCCUUCUGGGGAGAAGAAAUGGGUUUUGGCCCCAAAUCCUUCUGCUGCAUUUUUCCCCUAUCCCUGGGAAGCCAUGAGACCUCAAACCUGUGUUCCCAAGGAGGCGAGCUGCUGUUCCCAGGUGAUGAUAUGAUGUGCUUGGGGAAAGUAAGUGGCUGCCAGACAUGGCUGAGAGCUGUUGUCACUGCCGUCAAGUGCAUGUCUCCAAGCCAUAUCACACGGCGUCCCUCGAUGUGAGGCCACAUGGCAAGUGGGCCGUGGAUCUCCCUCUGCCCUUUGCAAGCACGUAAGACAGCAGAUUUUGCAGAUACCUUGUGGCGCAGGGGAAUUUCCUUUGGCCAGGUCUGAAGAAAUAAAGCAGCAGGCACCGAGAACAAAGCCAAGGCUUUCAAAAGACAAGGAGCCAAAAAACUUACUCAAAAUAAAAGUAGUUUUAAAAUGUCUC